GCUGCAGGCCGAGCUUGGCUGGCGGCCUCCACGCGGAGCGGCCUCCUUCCAACCUCGACUGGGCUGUUAAGGAGUUUAGUGAGGGAUGGAGGUGAAGACUGGGGCGUUGGAGUCGCUAGGUCCGUCGUUCUGUGGAAUCACAUUGAGGCAGGAUAAGGGCCUUGGAGAACAGGAGAGGGGUAUCUCUUGCCAACCUGAAGGGAGACAGCAGGUCUCAAAAACAUCGGUGACUCUCUAUUCCCUGCAAGCUUGACCACAAUGCCGCCUUCUGAGUUGGAAUACCGGUUUCUGUUCCUCACAGUUUCAACCACAGCAGCCCGUCCUUAGCUAUUGUUGCCUGAACCCCUAGCAAGAGUCGACCACAAUCAGACCUCUACUCAGAAUGCUUCCUUUUUCCAAUAUAGAGGUAUCGGAAAAGACCAGACAAGCAAGAACACAGUUCAAGGAUGAAAUGGAUAUAGAAAAUUCGGAUUUUCUGGAGGAGGCAUAGAGGUGUGUUUAAUCAGAGGGAGGACAGCCAGGUGUGGAAAUGAGAAAGCAGCGAGAACACGGGUGCCACAAACCCCUGAGAAAGCUGCUGUUGCUGACUGAAUGGAUGAACCCUGUGACUUCUACUUAAAUAGAUGCCCUCAGAGGCAUCUGAACAAUGAAUCAAGGAGCGCUGGUCACCCAUGGCUGUCUGGGAGUCUUUGCUAGAGAAAGUUUUUCUUGGAGGAACUGUACUGAGUGUCCUUGAUUACUUGAAGGUCUCUGUGCCUAUGGAGGUCCUGUCCUACUCUUCACUCUCAUGCAGACCAGGCUACUGACAUUCCAAGAAAACUCAUCACCUAACUCCCGUCAGCAGUCACAUCUUUGUCUUGUAUGUCAUUUACAUCCCUGUGUCUUUUCCAUAGCUGCCACUGCACCCCCAGCAUGUUCCUUGCUAUGGUGAAACCUGUGUCCCUUCCUCUUGUCUCUCUGGAUCAAUGGUUACUUUCACCCACCUUGGGAGCAGCCUCUGAAGCCACAUUGCUGCAAAGAGAUGAUUAGAGGUUUUCUG